rnacentral:rRNA from 1 species
AUUGAACGCUGGCGGCAGGCCUAACACAUGCAAGUCGAGCGGAUGAAGGGAGCUUGCUCCUGGAUUCAGCGGCGGACGGGUGAGUAAUGCCUAGGAAUCUGCCUGGUAGUGGGGGAUAACGUCCGGAAACGGGCGCUAAUACCGCAUACGUCCUGCGGGAGAAAGUGGGGGAUCUUCGGACCUCACGCUAUCAGAUGAGCCUAGGUCGGAUUAGCUAGUUGGUGGGGUAAAGGCCUACCAAGGCGACGAUCCGUAACUGGUCUGAGAGGAUGAUCAGUCACACUGGAACUGAGACACGGUCCAGACUCCUACGGGAGGCGGCAGUGGGGAAUAUUGGACAAUGGGCGAAAGCCUGAUCCAGCCAUGCAGCGUGUGUGAAGAAGGUCUUCGGAUUGUAAAGCACUUUAAGUUGGGAGGAAGGGCAGUAAGUUAAUACCUUGCUGUUUUGACGUUACCAACAGAAUAAGCACCGGCUAACUUCGU